CUUCGGUAUGUUGGAUUUCCAAUUGGAGUGAUGGCAGCUGUCUUGAUGGAUAUAAUUGUUGCAGUCUACCUGCUUGAAGUCCAUGAUGAAGCAACAUCCACAAUGGGUACAGAGUAAGUCAAGAGGUCUUCCACCUCAGAUCCUGACAAGUCAUCAGCUGAGGUUCUCUUAUUGCUGGAGGCAAACUUCUCCUCAUCAGUGUUUUCCAAGAGAAAGUGACUUUCUUGACUGGCCCACAUUUCUAUAAUUUCUCCUUCUAUUAGUGUGCAUAUUAGAUCUAUUCUGUUUAUUACUAUCAAAUAAUGUGUCAUCGGUUUAAACUAAUAGGUCUGUUAUUUGUGCUCUAUUCUUAAUUAAAGCUCUAAGAGGGGCCUUCUGAUGUGAUUAA